rnacentral:lncRNA from 1 species
GCUGACAUUCUCAAUGUAUGCGGAAAAAAAAUUGCAUUAAUUGUUUUCCUUAUUGCUUACAUUUGCCGUCCUACUAACAUGUUCACAGGAGUGCCAGGAGAAGACAUAAUUAGGCGCCAUCCCAACAGCGGUCAUUUAUUUUUAUACAUUGAAUCCAGACAUGAAAAAUAUGGCUGAUUUACUAUGCGGAUAUAUAUAGAUUUUUAAAUUAAAGUGCACAUAUGCAGGUCAGUUUUUGGUCGAUGCAGUCAAAUAAUUUUGUUGUAUAAGUCAGCAUGAGGUAUCAAAUCUACUGAAA